AGCGGUUAUACGAUAUGACGAGACUCGUCCACGGAACAGGGUAUGACAUUUGUUUUUAGAACGCAUCGUUUAGUUGCAAAGUUGUCAUACACGGAAAGUUCGCAUAGCUAAGAAACAUAACUGUGUCUGUGUAUAUCGGAUGAUUAAUUAAUUAUAACAUUUUCCACGACAAUCUACAGCAGUUCUCUACUUAAGAUGAUUCUUAUGUUCCGGAAAGAGAUUCCAUGGAAAACGAUCCAAAAGUUUUAGAACCUUUUGAUUAUACCCGUAGACCUCCAGAAAAUGACCAUUAUCAGGGAGCAGGAAUUAGACCAGUGCCAGUUCUUAAACAUGAUUAUAGCUUACCAUUUUCUCAAACCCCACAAGCUUCUAAUGUUCCGGAAAGAGGUUCCAUGGAAAACAACCCAGCAAUUUCAAAUCCUUUUGACUAUAUCCGUAGGCCUCCAGAAGAUGGCCAUUAUCAAGGAGGUGCAAUUAGACCAGUGCCAGUUCUUGAACCUGGUUAUAGCUUUCCAUUUUCUCAAAGCCCAGAAGGUACCGGACUUCCUAUUCCAUCAUGGAUUCCGUCAAUUCCGGGUUAUUCUACUCCACCUCUUUCAUCAGAGCCUCAUUUAAAUAGGUACGUAAAUAAUGACAAAAAUCGUCGAUUAAGAAGAGUCGGGAUGGUGUAUGGCUCGAUGGUAGAUCGAAAGCCAAAGACGGAGAAGGAGAAACAAAAACCUAUACCAGUGGAGAAGCAGAAACAGAAAUCAAAUGAGGCCACCCCAAAUCUUAAUGUUUGGAACAAUGUACUCAUUAUUUGUAUAUUCAUUUUGAUAAUCGUUCUGUUCAUAAUGUACUUUAACAUGUCUCCCAGUGAUAAUCGAGAAUCUAAACUUAUUACUGAAGUUUGAUUGACCAGUCUGCGUCUGAAUAUACUUGGACCCCCAAAAAAUUAACAUAGUAGGCCCUAACUCCUAUUUAUUUACAAUUAUUAGGAUUAGCUAAGAUUCUAUCUGUAUAAAACCUGUACAUAUCCCAAUAUGUUGGUGUGAUGUUUUAGUUUAACCCCGUAAAAUAUGUUGGCAUACACUCCCUAUCGCGCUACAUCGGCUGCUGCGCAGCCUCUCGUGCCUCCGGCGUCACAGAUUGUCAACAUUUUAUAUAAUUUCAGCAAAACCGCUGCGGAAAAACUGUGGAAAAGUCGCUCAUCGAGCUAACAACUUUUUGUUCGCAUUUUCUCCCGCGUAUGAACGCUUACUUAGGAUCGGUCUCAUUACAUUUCCAUUUGACUGACUUUAACCUGGAAGCCUGUCCAACUUCGUGACUUUUCUACGGGUCCUCCGGUUUCCUCCCACUGCUAAAGACCCCUACACGGAAGCGAAUUAUUGAAAUAAAAUUGAACCAUUAUGUUAGUCCCGAGUCCCGAAAUGAUCUAGUUUGUGUUUCAAAACAUUUUAACCAUAUUUAUUGUAAUUUAAUUAUAAUUAAUUUUCUGUGAUAAUUGUUGGUUUCGGAAUGAAUGAAUGAAAUGUAAAUGGCAUGUCAGCACCAAGCGAGCUAUAUUGCGCCAAACAUAUCUGAUGAUUUACAUGAGACAAACUAUAUGCAAUCGU